rnacentral:rRNA from 1 species
AUUGAACGCUGGCGGCAUGCCUAACACAUGCAAGUCGAACGAGUGGCGGAUGGGUGAGUAAUGUCGGGGAAACUGCCUGAUGGAGGGGGUAAACUACUGGAAACGGGCGCUAAUACCGCAUACUAUCAGAUGAGCCUAGGUCGGAUUAGCUAGUUGGUGGGGUAACGGCCUACCAGGGCAACGAUCCCUAGCUGGUCUGAGAGGAUGACCGGCCACACUGGAACUGAGACACGGUCCAGACUCCUACGGGAGGCAGCAGUGGGGAAUAGUGCACAAUGGGCGCAAGCCUGAUGCAGCCAUGCCGCGUGUAUGAAGAAGGCCUUCGGGUUGUAAAGUACUGUCAGCGGGGAGGCGUUACCCGAAGAUGAAGCACCGGCUAACUCCGUGCCAGCAGCCGCGGUAAUAC